rnacentral:rRNA from 1 species
GACGAACGCUGGCGGCGUGCUUAACACAUGCAAGUCGAACGGAAAGGCCCUGCUUUUGUGGGGUGCUCGAGUGGCGAACGGGUGAGUAACACGUGAGUAACCUGCCCUUGACUUUGGGAUAACUUCAGGAAACUGGGGCUAAUACCGGAUAGGAGCUCCUGCUGCAUGGUGGGGGUUGGAACGUUUCGGCGGUUGGGGAUGGACUCGCGGCUUAUCGGCUUGUUGGUGGGGUAGUGGCUUACCAAGGCUUUGACGGGUAGCCGGCCUGAGAGGGUGACCGGCCACAUUGGGACUGAGAGACGGCGCAGUCGCCUACGGGAGGCAGCAGUGGGGAAUAUUGCACAAUGGGCGGAAGCCUGAUGCAGCAACGCCGCGUGCGGGAUGACGGCCUUCGGGUUGUAAACCGCUUUCGCCUGUGACGAAGCGUGAGUGACGGUAAUGGGUAAAGAAGCACCGGCUAACUACGUG